GACGAACGCUGGCGGCGUGCUUAACACAUGCAAGUCGAACGGAAAGGCCCCUUCGGGGGUCCUCGAGUGGCGAACGGGUGAGUAACACGUGAGUAACCUGCCCUUGACUUCGGGAUAACUUCAGGAAACUGGGGCUAAUACCGGAUAGGAAUCCUUGCUGCAUGGUGGGGGUUGGAAAGCUUCGGCGGUUUUGGAUGGACUCGCGGCUUAUCGGCUUGUUGGUGGGGGAGUGGCUUACCAAGGCUUUGACGGGUAGCCGGCCUGGGAGGGAGACGGGCCACAUUGGGACUGAGAGACGGACAAGACUCCUACGGGAGGCAGAAGUGGGGAAUAUUGAACAAGGGGAGGAAGCCAGAUGCAGCAACGCCGCGGGCGGGAUGACGGCCUUCGGGUUGGAAACCGAUUUCAGCAGGGGCGAAGCUUGUGGUGACGGUACCUGCAGAAGAAGCACCGGCUAACUACGUG
rnacentral:rRNA from 1 species